rnacentral:rRNA from 1 species
CCUACGGGUGGCAGCAGUGAGGAAUAUUGGUCAAUGGCCGAGAGGCUGAACCAGCCAAGCCGCGUGAGGGAAGACGGCCCUACGGGUUGUAAACCUCUUUUGUCGGGGAGCAAAGCUAGUCACGUGUGACUCAUUUAGAGUACCCGAAGAAAAAGCAUCGGCUAACUCCGUGCCAGCAGCCGCGGUAAUACGGAGGAUGCGAGCGUUAUCCGGAUUUAUUGGGUUAAAAGGGUGCGCAGGCGGAGGUGCAAGUCAGCGGUCAAAUGGCGGGGCUCAACCCCGUACUGCCGUUGAAACUGCAUCGCUUGAGUGCGCGAGAAGUAUGCGGAAUGCGUGGUGUAGCGGUGAAAUGCAUAGAUAUCACGCAGAACUCCGAUUGCGAAGGCAGCAUACCGGCGCGCAACUGACGCUCAUGCACGAAAGCGUGGGUAUCGAACAGGAUUAGAUACCCCAGUAGUC